rnacentral:rRNA from 1 species
CCCCUAGAUGUUCUGGGCCGCACGCGCGCUACACUGAACAGUUCAACAAGUCUUAACCUUGGCCGAUAGGUCUGGGUAAUCUUUGAACGCUGUUCGUGAUUGGGAUAGACCUUUGCAAUUAUGGGUCUUCAACGAGGACUUCCUAGUAAACGCAAGUCAUCAGCUUGCAUUGAUUACGUCCCUGCCCUUUGUACACACCGCCCGUCGCACCUACCGAUUGAAUGGUCCGGUGAAAUCUCGGGACGGCGGCUUGGUCGCUUGCGUCCGACUGCUGAAACUUGAUUAAACCAUAUCAUUUAGAGGAAGGUGAANUCGUAACA